rnacentral:lncRNA from 1 species
UUGUUCUUGGCCAUCGAAGACAAUUUCUGACGACAAAGUUUCAUGUUUAAUUUUCUUUCUCACUCUCCACUACCUCUGAUCCGAUGAUGAUCAAACCUUUUGUCAACUGCCUCAAUCUGAAAAGUGUGUAAAGAAUCAUCACCAUGAAGCAACACAACAUGAAAAGCUCUCAUUGGCAGCACUGCACACUAACGAUAGAAUCCGAUCCUCAGAUCCCGAUGAUUUUGUUUCCAAAUCUAAACAAUGGAUGCCAGAUCUAAAGGGAGGGAAGCUCUUAGUGUGGGCUGAAACAAGUGCCUCAAUGACGAGGUUCUUGUAGGCAUUGUCUUUGCAGAGGUAGAUUGGAGAUAUGCCAUCUUGUUUUCAUCGAAAACCUCAUCAGCGUUUUCAUCGUUUUUUUCCAUCCUGAUAGAUUUGGACGAUCCGAACUUGAAAUUAAUGAUAUUUAUUCGAACAAUAUUGGAAUGGUAAACCCAACUUCCAUGCAAAUCUGCUUGACUUUUCUAGCACAUAGCACUUUCAAAGAGGAAGAUAUUUCAAAUUACUUUAGGUUAUUAUUUCUGAAAGUUUUGUUUAAAUUUUGGAUUGCAAAUGGGUCACUAAUUCAGUACGCAUAGUUUGGCACAAUUUUUUUUUUGUUUUUAAUUCUAUUAAGAAUUUAUGAUCCUAUCCAAGUCGUGAGGAUCCCAUACCAAUAGAAGC